GCAAAGAGCAGAAAGUGUGUGUGCGCGUAGGGGGGAAAAACACAGCUCCCAAGUUAAAGGCCUCCAGAGUAUCUUUCAUCAAGAAUGUUGCAGCUGAGGCUGGCCAUGGGUCACACACUGUUAGCAUUUGUGAAGGAGCUGCCUGCCUGGAUUCUCCUCAUUGGGAUCUUCCUGCCAGUGGUUUUGCUCCUCUUACUGCUCAUCGCUUACUUCAGGAUCAAGCUGAUAGAAGUGAACGAAGAAUUGGCCAUGGCCAAGGACCCCACAGAUGCCAUCCUGAGCUUCCACAUCCGGUCCCAGAAACUGAGAUCUGAAAGAAAGAGAUUAACCAAAAGAACAUAAUGAUAUUAAAGGAAGUUAUGCCUGAGAAAACAAGUUCAACAAAAGCAGUCCACUCAGCAGGUUUGAAAAUAACCUGCUGUAUUACAAAAGUCAUGGGGAAAAUAAAAUCGUGGAAAGUCAGUGCAGAAGAAUUGUACAACAGAAGCAGCUGCUGCUCCCUCAAAAAGGCCUUGUAAUGGGUUUGCUUUUACACAUGAUAAGCAACACUUUCCUGGACUCAUCAGCCCUGGUGACUUAAUGCUAUGUACUUUAUCAGGUGGUUUCUGAGACAUAGCAUUUGGAAAAAAAACUCUCUAUUCCUUAGAUGCUUAUAUCAUAUAGAAAAAGCUGUCUGAGUGUCUUCAUGUGAUAGCUGAAGACUGCACAGGUCUGAGAAUCAGCAGCAGUUUUGUUUAGUUUCAGGUGCAUGAAGAGCAGGCUAACAUGAAUUAAGGGUUUUCUUAAAAACAUACAUAUUGACAAAAGAAACAGAUCUUUCUAAAACAUGCUUUCUGAACUCGUGAGAAACUAUAUAGAAAAUGUGACAAGUGAAAGAGAAUCAUGAUGGAAGGAAAAAAAGGGGAUUUCUUCACUUAUUUUUCCUGUUUUAUGUUUUACUAAACUCACCUCCAGUUCAUACUGUAUUAUAGUCUGUUUGUGAGACAGAGUAUUUAAGUUUGUACACUUGCCAUAAAGUCAAAUAGCAAACCAUGAAAGAAGCAAUGAAUAUCGUAUUAAAGAUCUGAAUUAUUUUAGUUAGGAAGCACAAAGAAAAACUUAUACUUAAAUAAGGGGAUAAUUUUUUAAUCUAACAGGUGUAAUACGUUGUGAAAUUCUUUCCCCGUCAUGUUUUUUUCAUUAGUUGUAAACAAAUACAAUUAUGUUCAAUGAAAUCAUAAAUAUAGCUGCAUUGCCAAGUAUCUGAAACAGAUCACCUUAUAAGAGUGCAACAGUGGUCAAUAUUAGAAAAAAGCCACAAGAGACCACAUAUCAAUCAACUUCACCAUGCCCAAAGUCUUCUCCGUAUUAGAAUUUCAUCUCAUGCCCAUUGCUUCAAAUCCAUCAUGAAUGGCAUUACUUUACAUUUGCACUCACCCUAUUACUGUACAUUAUAGUGUACCAUACUGCAAGUGUAGAAGGGCACAGAACGCAGGGUUAUGGGCAACAUUCAUACUGGCAUAAUGGUAUGUUUGACUUUGCACUAUUUUAAUUCUUAACUUUGUAUUUCCUAAUAUGGUUUAUUUUGAGAGCAACCAUAACUAAUAAAUAAAGCCUUUUUGUUUGGGAAUUUAAACUAGACCUGAAGCAAGAAUAUUCCAAUGAGUGGAAACUACAUAUUCUGUAAUGUCCCGUAAACCUGAUAAAAUGAAGGAGGUUUAUACAGUUUUAUUCA